rnacentral:rRNA from 1 species
ACAGGUGGUGCAUGGUUGUCGUCAGCUCGUGUCGUGAGAUGUUGGUUAAGUCCGCAACGAGCGCAACCCUUAUUGCUAGUUACCAUCAUUCAGUUGGGGACUCUAGCGAGACUGCCAGUGAUAAACUGGAGGAAGGUGGGGAUGACGUCAAAUCAUCAUGCCCCUUAUGACCUGGGCUACAAACGUGAUACAAUGGCUGAAACAAAGGGCAGCGAAGCAGUGAUGUGGAGCGAACCCAAAAAAGCAGUCUCAGUUCGGAUUGAAGUCUGCAACUCGACUUCAUGAAGUCGGAAUCGCUAGUAAUCGCGGAUCAGAACGCCGCGGUGAAUACGUUCUCGGGGUUU